rnacentral:lncRNA from 1 species
CCCUAAUCAAGGAUAUCAAAAAUGAAGGGACAGCUAAAGAAAAGUAAAAGACACCUCAGAAAGUAGCAUGCCUCUUUGACAAGGGACAUGCCUUCAGAGGAACAUAACAGAAACCUCUGAGAACUGUCAACAAUAAAAAGACUGAGCAACAAGGGAAAUUGGUAGGAAAUCAAAGGUUUUAAGAGGCAAAAAUCAAGUUACUAGGAAAAUAUUUUUUAAAAACCACCAACAGUCUAAGAGCACUGCAACAUUUUGAAUCAUUUGUCUUUUCUCAACACUGGAUUUUAAGCAAGGAACAAGACUAUUCCGGUUCCAAAUGCUUUAAUGAACAAGGGGUAUUGGGUUUUAGCAUCAACAUGAUCUGUCUUCACUCUGAAGCUUUAACUUGAGUAGCUGCUGUGCUUUGUAAAGCUUCAAUCUAAUUCAUUUGAUAACUACAAUUACCAAAUCUGGGCAUUGCUGACUACACAGUUCAAAAAAAA